UAACUCGAAAGGUGCAAGAAAAUCAGGGCCUUGCAAGCACGUUGUUUCCCGGCGAGCGCCACUCGGUCGCGAGUGGCGCGAAGCCGGACUGUGCGCUACAAGUGUGACGCGUGAGCUGCGGCUGCGCAGCUCCUCCUUGCCAGCCACGCGGCAGCAGCAGCAGUGCCGAGCGGCCGCAGCAACUUAGCGUCCACGAAGCGAGACUCCACGAAGCCGAGGUCAUGGACUGUGUGGCCACCCGAGUGAAGCCGCUGGCUGGAAUGCGCUUCAGGAGCCCAGAAGUAGGAGUGUUGCGAAGGGCCCAAGUGAUUUUUCAGCAACGUUCUGCAACCACAUCGAAAUAAACUGAUCAUUCGUUCACAGCCCC
rnacentral:misc_RNA from 1 species